UGCUAGAAUGAGUAGAUUUGCACCUC
rnacentral:piRNA from 1 species